CUCGGAGAUAGCUGGUUCUCCCCGAAAUAGCUUUAGGGCUAGCCUCAUGUUAGAUUUCCGGAGGUAAAGCACUGAAUGGCCUAGGGCCCGAGAGGGUACCGAAGCCUAUCAAACUCUGAAUGCCGGAAAAUUGAUGCAUGGGAGUCAGACUAUGUGAGAUAAGUCUCAUAGUCAAAAGGGAAACAGCCCAGAUCUACAGCUAAGGUCCCAAAGCAGGUUUAAGUGGAAAAGGAUGUGGAGUUGCGAAAACAGCCAGGAUGUUGGCUUAGAAGCAGCCACUCAUUUAAAGAGUGCGUAAUAGCUCACUGGUCGAGUGACUCUGCGCCGAAAAUUCAACGGGGCUAAAACCUGCACCGAAGCUUAGGCAUCCGCAAGGAUGGGUAGGGGAGCGUUGUGUACGAGGCGAAGCAUCAGCGAAAGCGGAUGUGGAUUGUACACAAGUGAGAAUGCCGGAAUAAGUAGCGCGAAUGAUGUGAGAAUCAUCAUGGCCGAAAGCCUCAGGUUUUUGGAGGAAGGUUCGUCCGCUCCAAGUUAGCCGGGAGCUAAGGUGAGGCCGAAAGGCGUAGCCGAUGCACAUACGGUAGAGAUUCCGUAGCCGCCGAAAGAUUUAAGCAGGGGGACACAUUUGAAGUGUUGGUGCCGGGUGUUGGUUUACCCGGUCGAAAGGGACUGAAAUUUAGUAGGGAAGUCCAGCAUGGAGAGUGGCGAGAAAAGCCCUGUGUAUAUCUAAGGCGCCCGUACCGCAAACCGACACAGGUAGGUAGGAAGAAGAUUCUAAGGCCAACGGGAGAAGGGUUGUUAAGGAACUCGGCAAGUUGACCCCGUAACUUCGGGAGAAGGGGUGCUCAUGAAAGUGAGCCGCAGAGAAUAGGCCCAAGCAACUGUUUAGCAAAAACACAGGUCUGUGCUAAAUCGAAAGAUGACGUAUACGGGCUGACACCUGCCCGGUGCUGGAAGGUUAAGGGGAUGUGUGCAAGCACUGAACCGAAGCCCCAGUAAACGGCGGCCGUAACUAUAACGGUCCUAAGGUAGCGAAAUUCCUUGUCAGGUAAGUUCUGACCCGCACGAAAGGCGUAAUGAUUUGGGCACUGUCUCAACAGCCCGCCCGGCGAAAUUGUAGUACCGGUGAAGAUGCCGGUUACCCGCGACAAGACG
rnacentral:rRNA from 1 species